GAGUUCAGGCUUUGAUCCUCCUGUCUGUCCUGGAUAUUGAAUUUUUGUUAAUUUUCUUACAUGUGAAAAAUGAUAUUGUGGUUGUAUAGGAGACUGUCCCUGUCUUAACUGAUGUGGGCUGAAGAAUUUCAGGACAAAUGUCAGGAUAUCCGCUGCUGUGACUUCCUUUCAAAUGGUUUGGCUAGAUUUAUAUAUAGAUAAGUAUAGUUAGGAGAUGAAGCAAAAAUGGUCCAAUACUGACAACUGAGAAACAUAAACGUUUACUGAUGUCCACUGCACUUGUCUUAAACAUUUGGCGGGGUGGGGGGGGGGGAGUGGGGGGAGAGGGUCAGGGUAAGAGGUGGGUUACAAACCAAAAGAAAAUUUAAAAACCAUCCCACCUCAACCUGAGAACCCUUACCCAGAGAGCUUUCUCCGCAUUGGCCCCAUUUCAUAGAUGGGGAAACUGAGGCUUGGUGAGGCAGGUUGGUGUUGAGGGAGGUAGGAGGACCCGAGGUUCAUUAAACAAAUGUCCAAUUCUAUUUGACAUUUUAGUUAUGCUACCUUAGUGUCAAGCCAGUGCUGGGCACUGAGCAUUCAGAUUUAAACUGGUUUCUGCCUUAAAAUGUCUGUUGAAAGAGACAGCCAGAGAGGCCAGGCCAUGAGGAGUCCAGAGGCAGAGCGUAAGCUGUGGCUGGAGACAGUGAUUUGGCCUUCGUACAGGUUUCUGCUUCCUCUGUCCAGAACACCUCUCUCCACCAACCCCUGGCCAACUCCUAUUCAUCCUUCAAGAUCCAAUGUUGGUGCAACUUUCCCUAAGCUUAAACUGUAGUGUUAUUUGCUUUUCUUGUUGGCAUUCACACAGUAGGUGCUUAGUGAUCAUUGUGGGAGGAAGGAAAGGGUAUAAGGGGAAUUGGAGGCAAAGCUGACCAAAGCUCUUUGAGGAGACAAAAACCCUCAAAGCCCUGCUUAGGACAGCCUGGCUCCUUUGUGGGUCUGGGGAUAGGCUGUGUACCCUGUUCGACCUAGAAAGAGGCACCUGCUUCCUGGAUUUUUCCUGGCACUUCCCACACUGGGUACAGCUGUCCAAAAAGCUGCAGUACCCAUCCGGGUUGCCAGGGCAACAUCAGCCCAUGGUGGGACGUCAGGGAUGACAGGGGCAGAGUGCUAAUCCUGGAAAGUUGCCAAGCAACGCAGUGGGUUGAUGAUGUCACAGGGGCCAUGGCUGCCAGACAGAUGGAUAGGCCACUGCAGGAAGGGUCUACUCUCAGAAGGUCCAGCCCACAGAUCCCCCACUCCCCACCAUGAGAUAGUCACUGCUGUGUCCCUUACCUGGGGCAUGGGGGCCAGGGGGUCUGCUUCUCCCAGCAGUCCUGCCACCUCGACUCUGCCCCUCUUGCUGAAGCUGGGAGCAAUGCUUCACUGGCGGUGGCGGAGAUGAAAGUCCCGUGUGAAUAGACAGCAGAAUGAGCCCUUCAUGUGGCCGGCCAGCUGGAACAGAGGGCGACAGGCAUCCAGACAGGAUGGCUGGAGCUAUCCACUCCCCACCAGCCCCCAGCCAGCCUCUUGGGCCCCCAAGAUCUCCCUCUGGUUUUCUAAGCCAGGGGCUCUGAGCUGCUAAGAGAAACUGAGUCACAGACAUGGGGGCUGUCAGAGGGCUAGGCGAGGUCUGGGGUUCACCGCUCUCCCUAGGCUGCCUCUGACCUUCCCCCUUCUCUAUCAUUGGCCAGCUGGCUUCAGCAGCUCUGACCAGAACUUUCUUUGAUGAAUAAAAAUGGAGACAAAUUAA